GCAGUCGUGGCCGAGUGUUUAAGGCAAUGGACUAGAAAUCCAUUGGGGUCUCCCCGCACAGGUUCGAAUCCUGUCGACUGCG
rfam:Ixodes scapularis strain Wikel colony gcontig_1108378852562, whole genome shotgun sequence.